rnacentral:rRNA from 1 species
UACGGAGGGAGCUAGCGUUGUUCGGAAUUACUGGGCGUAAAGCGCACGUAGGCGGCUUUGUAAGUUAGAGGUGAAAGCCCGGGGCUCAACCCCGGAAUUGCCUUUAAGACUGCAUCGCUUGAAUCCGGGAGAGGUGAGUGGAAUUCCGAGUGUAGAGGUGAAAUUCGUAGAUAUUCGGAAGAACACCAGUGGCGAAGGCGGCUCACUGGGACCGGUAUUGACGCUGAGGGUGCGAAAGCGUGGGGAGCAAACAGG